rnacentral:lncRNA from 1 species
UUCUUUCUUGGGCUCGCUUUUUACAAAGAUGAACCAUCAAGUUGGUUCGUCGAGGUCGUCAUCAUCUACUCAGACUUCGGCGCAAUAGGCCUUAUGGAUUUCAUCCCAAGUGGGUGGGGGAUCGACUGGCUCAGUAGCUUUCCAGUCACUCUUAAAACCACUAUGUUCAACCCAUUCUGAAUGGUUGUGACUUCCAUUCUUUCGGACACAUUAAGUAAGGUCAUCCUCACCCUGUUGAAUAGGGCAAAAAAUAC